rnacentral:tRNA from 1 species
GGCCCAGUGGCAGAGUGGUUAUGCAGCGGCCUGCAAAGCCGUGUACAUCGGUUCGAUUCCGGUCUGGGCCUCCA